rnacentral:rRNA from 1 species
GCGUAAGCAAUCUGCCCCUAAGACGAGGAUAACAGUUGGAAACGACUGCUAAGACUGGAUAGGAGAUAAGAAGGCAUCUUUUUAUUUUUAAAAGACCUAGCAAUAGGUAUGCUUAGGGAAGAGCUUGCGUCACAUUAGUUAGUUGGUGGGGUAAUGGCCUACCAAGACGAUGAUGUGUAGCCGGGCUGAGAGGUCGAACGGCCACAUUGGGACUGAGACACGGCCCAAACUCCUACGGGAGGCAGCAGUAAGGAAUUUUCGGCAAUGGAGGAAACUCUGACCGAGCAAUGCCGCGUGAACGAUGAAGUAUUUCGGUACGUAAAAUUCUUUUAUUAGGGAAGAAAAGAUGGUGGAAAAACCAUUAUGACGGUACCUAAUGAAUAAGCCCCGGCUAACUAUGUGCCAGCAGCCGCGGUAAUACAUAGGGGGCAAGCGUUAUCCGGAAUUAUUGGGCGUAAAGGGUGCGUAGGCGGUUAAAUAAGUUUAUGGUCUAAGUGCAACGCUCAACGUUGUGAUGCUAUAAAAACUGUUUAGCUAGAGUUGGAUAGAGGCAAGUGGAAUUCCGUGUGUAGUGGUAAAAUGCGUAAAUAUACGGAGGAACACCAGAAGCGAAGGCGGCUUGCUGGGUCUUAACUGACGCUGAGGCACGAAAGCGUGGGGAGCAAACAGGAUUAGAUACCCUGGUAGUCCACGCCCUAAACGAUGAGUACUAAACGUUGGAUAAAACCAGUGUUGAAGUUAACACAUUAAGUACUCCGCCUGAGUAGUACGUACGCAAGUAUGAAACUUAAAGGAAUUGACGGGACUCCGCACAAGCGGUGGAUCAUGUUGUUUAAUUCGAAGGUACCCGAAAAACCUCACCAGGUCUUGACAUGCUUUUGCAAAGCUGUAGAAAUACAGUGGAGGUUAUCAGAAGCACAGGUGGUGCAUGGUUGUCGUCAGCUCGUGUCGUGAGAUGUUGGGUUAAGUCCCGCAACGAGCGCAACCCUUGUUGUUAAUUGCCAUCAUUAAGUUGGGGACUUUAGCAAGACUGCCAAUGAUAAAUUGGAGGAAGGUGGGGACGACGUCAAAUCAUCAUGCCCCUUAUGACCUGGGCUACAAACGUGAUACAAUGGCUGUUACAAAGGGUAGCUAAAGCGUAAGCUUCUGGCGUAUCUCAAAAAAGCAGUCUCAGUUCGGAUUGAAGUCUGCAACUCGACUUCAUGAAGUUGGAAUCGCUAGUAAUCGCGAAUCAGCAUG